AAAGGCGGAUUUAUCUGCCGCUCAUGGAUGGGCCUGCGGUGCAUUAGCUAGUUGGUGAGAUAGUAGCUCACCAAGGCGACGAUGCAUAGCCGACCUGAGAGGGUGAUCGGCCACACUGGGACUGAGACACGGCCCAGACUCCUACGGGAGGCAGCAGUAGGGAAUCUUCCGCAAUGGACGCAAGUCUGACGGAGCAACGCCGCGUGAGUGAUGAAGGGUUUCGGCUCGUAAAACUCUGUUGUUAAGGAAGAACACUUGAGGUAGUAACUGGCCUUGAGAUGACGGUA
rnacentral:rRNA from 1 species